rnacentral:tRNA from 1 species
GUCUUUAUAGUGUAACGGUUAUCACAUCAGGUCUAGGUCCUGAUAAUUUGGGUUCGAAUCCCGAUAAAGAUA